UCUUAAAUCUAAAAAGAGCCUCUCACCUGAGGCCUUCACCUGAGAGCUGGAGCCUGUGCGAUGGAUUAUCUGGACAGGGACCCCAAUGAACAUAAAGAACCAGAUAGUAUAUCAUCUUGUCAACUGCACGGCUUCUAUGGGCUCUGCUGGAGUGAGGAAGCUGACUGAGGGAAGAACCAGAAGGCUGCCAAAAGGUGUUGAGAGCUUGGGAUAUUUUGAAAGAAAUAGUACAUUUAAAAUGACAAUUGUGUGCCUUUAAAGGAAAUAACAACAAGAAUUAGGAGCGCCCUGGAGGCAAGAUGAAGACCAUGAAAAUUAGAGAAAAUAAAAGACAACCAUCUUCCAGUUACUACACAUAUCAACGUAACUUAUAUUCAUACAGAAAUGAAGACUUGCUAAAGCAACAUUCUUGAAAAGAUGUCUGGGGAUGUUGCACUGCUAAACCUACCUGUCCCUGAGUAACUAUAUUGUGUCCCAGAGUUCCCUCUGAUUGAAUUCCACUGACUCAGAGUGGCAAUUGUUUUGAUAACAUACCCUUGAUCGGCUUCCUUCCUUUUCUCACUUUCCUUUUGCACUGGUGUCUCCUGUGAUCACUUCCAAAAUAAACUACUUACACUCAAUUCUUGUCCUCAGGUCUGCUGCUGGGGAAACCAAACCACAGUAACUUCAGAAAUAUAUACUUGGAAUAUGUCAUGUAUUAAUGGGUAAAGACACCGUGGAUAUGAAGGAAAUCACCUAUGGGAGAAUAUUAAGAAGAGAAGAAGGGGCUGCUGGCUGUAGUGAAAUGUAUAAAAAGGAGAGUGUGAUCCUAGUUUCUGUCUCUAACUAUGAGUUACUUGUGAUUAACUUCAAAUAUUCUCUCCAUAAGAAGAGGCCCAGAAGAAGAAGAUGAGCUUCAGUUAUUCUAGCACAACUGCUGUGAUAUUUGUAAAUAUUCAAAACCUAUAAUAAAAUGUAUAAAAGGAAACUCCAUUUGAAAUGAUUUGAAAUCUCACAUGGAAAUCUAUUUUUUUUAAAUCAGAGCUUAGUAAGAGAAAAUAGUUUCAGAAGCUGGGAAGUUUAAGAUCAAGGCGCCAGCAGAUUUGGUGUCUGAUGCUCUCCACACCAGUCCAUGGCUGCCGUGGUGUCAAUGAUUCAGGACUGUUUUUUUAAUCUCUUCAAUUCCUCUUCCAGAGACAUGAAGUUAAAACCAGGAAAAAUCAAGACAGAACAACACAUCCUGUGGUGUCUGGACAGAGCUGACCCUGUGCAACACAGACCUCAAUGGACCCUGAUAUCUUCUUGGUUAGUUCCAUGACUUGACUAAAUGGGGGCUUGGCUAUCUUGACAGAGUCUCAUUCCAGCCCUGUUCACAUGCUCGGUGGUUGUGGAAAUACAGACUCCAAGUCAUUCAACACUUUUAGCACCUUCCUGAGACCAUUUACUCUCGUGGUUCUCAAGUUUUUGUGUAUAUUGCCUGUGACGUCCAUUACAUGCGAAAAUGGAGUCUACCUGCUUCCACCUGAGAGCUAAAGAACCUUCUCUUUGAUCAAGCUGAGUUCCAGAGUUCCAAGUUUCCCAGGAUUCAGAGAUCCCUGGCCCAGCUGUGAUAUGCAGUCUCAAAACACAAAACAUCUGGAGAGAUGAUAUGAACAGUUCAUCUUUCCCUAUUUAUAUUUGAAGGCUAAGGCAAUGUUUAUGGAAUAAAGAAUUUGUUUAAAUGAAUGUCUGAACAUUAUGAAUUCCUUGUUAUACUUUAUCUGGCUUCACAAUUGAUGUAGUGAACCAAGAUCUCUCUAUACAUAUACUCACAUGCAUACACAUACACAUAGGCUUAUAGUCAUAAAGCUAUAUAGUCAUAUAUACAUGUAUCUAUAUAUCAAAAAAGAGAUUGUUAUUUUUCUUUAUGUACCUAGGGAAAUCCCUGAACCUAUUAAGGCCACUAUAUUCAUUUCUCUAAAGUCUAAAAGCAGACUGGAAGGAUGGAAUAUGAGUAUAACACGAAAGUAAUAUUUUUCACAAAGUCAUGGCUAUUAAGAACCUUAUAGUCUUUGAGUGGAGUGUAUAAUUUGAAAUUAAAGUUUCAUAACUGAGUAUCCUUCUUUUUAGAAGAAAAAUGUUCUCAUAAAUCUGUUACCCAAAAUGCUUUUGAAAGAAAAUUUACCAUUUUCUUCAACUUUAAAAUCAUACUUGCAAGGGAAGCUCUGUGCAGAGAUGUUUGGCAUAAAUAUGAAUGACAAUAUAUAAAAACUAUUACCACACUACUAAAAAAUGUUGGGCAGCUUUGACCUGGUUAUUUGAUUGAACUUUCUGAAUCUGAUUUGUCAACUGAAGACAAGUAAAAGUUUUUUUACAAAUUCUAUCCUUAGCCUCUCAAUUAAUCUCAAAUAUUUGUUCAGAGAAAUAAUUGAAAAUUCUGACUGUAUCCUGACUGAAAUGUGGAUCACUGGGGGCCUCAAAGCUUCAGUGUGUUUAGUUCCCUAUGGUUUUGAGGCACAUGCCCUAUGUGAACCUUUUGAAGGACAGAAAAAUUCAUAACUGACUAGCAAUUGGUUAACUUUAGUUAAAAAGUGAAACACCUACUCUAGUGGUGCAAAAGAUGUCUGCAAAGGGCAAAAUCUUCAGCUUUGAAAGGCAUUCAGCAAUGUCAAUAGACUAGCACUUGAGAGUCACCUAAAAUUUAUUUGUAUUACUUUUCACCCAAUUUUAAAGAAGAAUAUUUCUAAGAUAAAAGCUUAAAACUUUUUAAUUAAAAAAAAAAAACUAAACUCAGUACUCCUAAGCCUUCAUAGAUAUAUACUUCAGUAUCUUGCAUGACAUUGAAAGCUCUAAUAACCAAAUUCUUUCCUGACUCCUAAUUAUGUGUCCUUGUUCUUCUGUUUAAAGUAACAUUUUGUGUCUAUUUGUGUAUAUGCAUGUGUACACAUUUGUGUGAGUUCACAAAUGAUUACUCUGAUGAAUGUUAAUUUAUAUCAAUCUAACCAAAAUAAAAUUAGAGAAAUCU
rnacentral:lncRNA from 1 species